CCCCCCGUCAGGCUUCAGACACGGCGCCUGAAGCACGUGCAGCGUUGCCUGGGCUCGCCCGUAGGUGCCAACCUGUGUGCUUCCCUGGGGGCGUCUGAGUAUCGCCCUAAACGCCCUGUGAUUUGCUCGCGAACGCUAGGGCACCCUCUGCAGUCUCCUGCUCCUGCCCCCCUGCUCUAGCACCGUUUUAGCCGUUAGGGGAAAGCUGGGUGCUCCUCGCCGUCUGGAGCUGCUUUCCGUGCCCUGCCGCGGCGGUGUCUCGUGCUGCUCAGCCCCAAAGUUCACAGCCUCCCUGUCUGCUGGCAACCCAGAAGGAUGUACGAAGCUGCUGGAAACGAGCAGAGCCAAGAGGAUGAGAAUGGAGUUUCACUUUGGGUCUCACCUGGGAUUGCAUCCUGCAAACAGGAGGUGCUUCUCCUCUGCCUGGAAGAAGAGCGUGAGCAGAGAAGGAUGAGGAAGCGAGUGAGGAUCAGCCCUUCCCGCUGGAGCAGAUGCUCCUGCAAAGUGAGAGGACUGCGUAGUCUUAGCAUUAACAGAAGGGAAACGCAAAGACCACCUGGGCUGACAGGGAAGCUGCAGCUCCUGGAAACCAUCUUGCAGCCCACGCUGGAAGCGGGACGUGGAGGGGGCUGCCCUGACACCCGGUACGUGUCCUCUGACUGCGAAGCUGGCUUGGCCCCCUCUGCCUCUCCCCCUGCCACCGCAGUACCCUGUGGGGCUGCUGCUCUGUGA
rnacentral:lncRNA from 1 species